GGGUAGGUGGUCGAGUGGUUAAAGGCGGCAGACUGUAAAUCUGUUCUCGUGAGAGUACGUAGGUUCGAAUCCUACCCUGCCCACCA
rnacentral:tRNA from 1 species